GAUGAACGCUGACAGAAUGCUUAACACAUGCAAGUCUACUUGAACUUCGGUUUGGGUGGCGGACGGGUGAGUAACGCGUAAAGAACUUGCCUCACAGAUAGGGACAACAUUUGGAAACGAAUGCUAAUACCUGAUAUUAUGAUUUUAGGGCAUCCUAGAAUUAUGAAAGCUAUAUGCACUGUGAGAGAGCUUUGCGUCCCAUUAGCUAGUUGGAGAGGUAACGGCUCACCAAGGCGAUGAUGGGUAGCCGGCCUGAGAGGGUGAUCGGCCACAAGGGGACUGAGGCACGGCCCUUACUCCUACGGGAGGCAGCAGUGGGGAAUAUUGGACAAUGGACCAAGAGUCUGAUCCAGAAAUUCUGUGUGCACGAUGAAGUUUUUCGGAAUGUAAAGUGCUUUCAGUUGGGAAGAAAAAAAUGACGGUACCAACAGAAGAAGUGACGGCUAAAUACGUG
rnacentral:rRNA from 1 species